GACGAACGCUGGCGGCGUGCUUAACACAUGCAAGUCGAACGGAAAGGCCCUGCUUUCGUGGUGUUCUCGAGUGGCAAACGGGUGAGUCACAUGUGUGUACCGUGCUCUACACUUUGGUAUACCUUCAGGAAACUGGGGCUAAUCCCGUAUAGGAGCUCCUGCUGCAUGGUGUGGGUUGGAAUUUUUUGGCGGUUGGGGAUGGACUCGCGGCUUAUCAGCUUGUUGGUGGGGUAGUGGCUUACCAAGGCUUUGACGGGUAGCCGGCCUGAGAGGGUGACCGGCCACAUUGGGACUGAGAUACGGCCCAGACUCCUACGGGAGGCAGCAGUGGGGAAUAUUGCACAAUGGGCGGAAGCCUGAUGCAGCGACGCCGCGUGCGGGAUGACGGCCUUCGGGUUGUAAACCGCUUUCGCUUGGGACGAAGCGUGAGUGACGGUAAUUGGUAAAGAAGCACCGGCUAACUACGUG
rnacentral:rRNA from 1 species